CGCGUCUGCGGUGCUUGUUGGUCGGUAAGAACUCAAGUUUGAUUGGUGUCGGACAGAUCUACAUUUUUCUGGCCUUUGGACCAAAAUAGGAGCUGCCAGGACCUGGUCCGGAAAUGAGGCUCUACUUCCGGAAGCAACACCCGCUCAGGUCCGGGGAGGGGGAGGGCGAAUGCCGUCCAUUUCGGCUCUCGUCUGGUUUUAAUGCUGGCAACUGUAGAAUCCGAGAGGGAAAAGAGUAGGCGAGCCUUGAGAGCAGUAAAGACACUGGAAGGAAGGCGACGGAGCGCCUAGGACUGGGUUAGGAGCACCCCGGCGCUGGCUGGGCACCGGCCGCAGCUGCCCCGCUGGCCGGGGACGUGGACUCCAGGACCGGUUAGGUGGAGCUGCUGUCCUUACUUCCCGGUACCCAUUUCCGAAGGAAGCUGGCCCCUUGAUGUUUCUGGGGGUCCAGGAGCAAUGGAAAGGCUUUAUGGGAGGCUUCCUUAUUGGACUUGCAGCUCCUCGCUAUGCCUACCUGCAACCGUGGGGGCUGUACUCCAGACAAAGAUGUUUGUGCCGUACGCAUGUUGAAUUUCCUUUUCCCAGACUUGCCCACUGCAGUCAAGCGCCUACAUACACACUUGCUUCUUUCUCAUAGAGUAAGGUUCUUGAGUGUUUAAAAUUUCCUGAAACUCACUCGGUAGUCCAGGCUGGCACCCGCCUCUGCCCCUCAAGUGCUUGGGAUUAAAGGCGUGCACCAUCACCGCCUGGCAAGCUGUAACUUUUUUUAGUCUGGAAUUCAGUGUAUUUAACAGUCUACAUCAUCCUUUUGAAUCAGUUUGUAAUUGUGUGUAAUUUUUUUUCUUGUACAACUCCCCUUUCCCUACCACCUCUCCCCGCCAACCUGUACUGUUCUUCACAUCUUUUUAUUUCUUUUUCCCACUGUAAUAUAAAUCCUAUUUAUGACUCUUCAA